AGUACGUGAAACUGCUUAGAGGUUAAACCCGAUGAACCUGAAUAUCCAUUAUGGAAAAUUCAAUACUAAUAUUACAAUAUAUAUCAUAUUUGUAAAAGUAGUGUGCAAUUUUUCCAUAUAAGGACAUUGUAAUCUGUUAAUGUAAUAAUUAUUUAUCAAAAGAUUCUUUACUUAAGUUUAUUCAAAUUGUUUAUUUUCGGAUAUUCAACAUAAAAUAAAUGUAUUGAAUUGGAUAAAUCAUUGACAGAUAUAAUUAUAUAAUGUGCUCAAAUUCUAAGGAAUUUUACAAUGAUAAAUAAAUCUAUUGAUUUGUUUGUUUAUUUGUCUGCACUAUUAUGAUUAACAAUGCGAUAGAUUCAGGAUACCUUCGGGACCCGUCUUGAAACACGGACCAAGGAGUCUAACAUAUGUGCAAGUCAUUGGGUAUUUUUAAUAAAACCCAAUGGCAUAAUUAACUUAACUUUAUUUAUAAUGGGAUUAGUUUAUAAUUUAUUAUGAAUUAUUUAUUCAAUCCCGGGGCGUUCUAUAUAGUUAUGUAUAAUGGUAUUUAUAUUAUUUAUACCUCUAACUAGAGCGUACCUUGAGC
rnacentral:rRNA from 1 species